AUAGAUGAUAUCUUAGUGACAACUAUAUAAAAUAUGUUUUUAUUCCAUAGCAUCAUGAAUACAAUUCGAUGAAUACCCGACCCAAGUUUUAUAUAACGUAUUCAUUAGCCAAGCAUCUCACCCACACCACCAUGUACUCCUCGAUUGCAUGCAUUCAUUUACCUCCUUAGCGAUAGGGCCAUAGAUUGAUCUAUCAAUAUCUUGGCUUCUUAACUUAAAAGCCGCUAUCUUUUGUGUAUGUCUCCAGGAUAAGUUUUGCCACUUCUAAUU
rnacentral:lncRNA from 1 species